rnacentral:lncRNA from 1 species
AGAGAUCAAGAAAAGAAGUGGAAUAAUCCCCUCUAAUCUGAUUCCUUAGGAGAGGCCCAAGAGCAUCGGCCUUAAGGUCAAGUGGCAACAGGUGACAUCUUAGAUGUCCUCACGUCUUAUUAUCCCACUGAUGAAGAUGGAUCCCUCUUCGUCACUGACUCUUGAUCCUUGUGUACAACCUACACGUGACAGGAAGAGUCUCACAGAUAAGAAAAACUCCAGCUUCUUGGGCUCAGACUAUGAAAAUGCCUGCAGGGUCAUGAUUUAUGUGAAGAUGAAUAAGGUACAUUUACUGC